AUUGAACGCUGGCGGCAGGCCUAACACAUGCAAGUCGAACGAGUGGCGGACGGGUGAGUAAUGUCUGGGAAACUGCCUGCUGGAGGGGGAUAACUACUGGAAACGGUAGCUAAUACCGCAUACCAUCGGAUGUGCCCAGAUGGGAUUAGCUAGUAGUUGGGGUAACGGCUCACCAAGGCGACGAUCCCUAGCCGGUCUGAGAGGAUGAACGGCCACAUGGGGACUGAGACACGGCCCAGACUCCUACGGGAGGCAGCAGUGGGGAAUAUUGCACAAUGGGCGCAAGCCUGAUGCAGCCAUGCCGCGUGUAGGAAGAAGGCCUGCGGGUUGUAAAGUACUUUCAGCGGGGAGGCGUUACCCGCAGAAGAAGCACCGGCUAACUCCGUGCCAGCAGCCGCGGUAAUUC
rnacentral:rRNA from 1 species